UACGCCUUAAGACGCAAAAGAGUCUGUUUUUUCCCAAUUUAAAAUUGGUUUGGUAUUUGGGAAGUUAAAACAUAUUAAAUACAUGAAUUUCUCUGAUAGAAACGAAGCUUCCCUUGACUGUCAUCAAAACUGUUUCCAUUUUGGACUUGCAGUUCUGUAUUCUGAUGUGAAGCGAAAAUCCAAUCUGCACAUCUGGGCCUGUGGAGUUCUCAACCUAAUGAAUUCGAUGGAUUUACAGAUACUCUUACGAGCAGCUUCUUUGACUGCCCUGCUUGUAUUUGUUAGUCUUCCAUAUUCGGUGUAUGCGGGGGACAUCGUACACGAAGACGAUCAAGCUCCGAAGAAGCCUGGCUGUAACAACAACUUCGUUCUGGUUAAAGUCCAAACUUGGGUGGAUGGCGAAGAAGGCAGUGAGUUUGUGGGUGUUGGUGCUCGAUUCGGCACUACCAUGGAGUCGAAGGAGAAGCAUGCAAAUCAAACUAAGCUUAUCCUCUCUGAUCCUCUUGAUGGUUGCAGCCCGCCUAAGAAUAGGCUUUUUGGAGAAGUCAUCCUGGUUGAACGUGGUAAAUGCAAAUUCACAAAAAAGGCAAAUGUUGCACAAGCUGCUGGUGCUUCAGCAAUCCUAAUUAUAAAUAAUAAGACAGAGCUCUACAAAAUGGUCUGUGAAAAGAAUGAAACAGAUCUCGAUAUACAUAUAGCGGCAGUGAUGCUUCCAAAAGAUGCGGGUGCAAGUUUGAAGAACAGUCUAGAAAGAAAUUCCUCUGUUUCUGUGCGGCUAUACUCUCCACAACGUCCUCUAGUCGAUAUAGCGGAGGUGUUUUUGUGGCUUAUGGCAGUUGGUACUAUCUUGGGUGCAUCAUAUUGGUCUGCAUGGAGUACCAGAGAAGCAAUGAUUGAACAGGAUAAGCUAUUGAAGGAUGCUACAGAAGAAUUUAUAAAGGCUGAAGACACAGGUGGUAGUGGUGUUGUGGACAUAACCUCAACGUCGGCGGUCCUUUUUGUUGUGAUUGCUUCAUGCUUCUUGGUUUUGCUUUACAAGCUCAUGUCCUUCUGGUUCGUGGAGGUUUUGGUGGUUCUAUUUUGCAUUGGAGGUGUAGAGGGCCUGCAAACUUGCUUGGUGGCUUUGUUAUCAAGGUGGUUCAAAAGCGCUGGAGAAACAUUUAUUAAAGUGCCAUUCUUUGGAGCUGUUUCUUACCUUACAUUGGCUGUAACUCCAUUCUGCAUAGCACUUGCUGUUGUUUGGGCAGUGUAUCGCCGCAUCUCCUAUGCUUGGAUAGGUCAAGAUAUCCUUGGGAUUGCGCUGAUACUUACAGUUCUUCAGAUUGUUCAUGUACCUAAUCUCAAGGUGGGCACAGUACUUCUUGGUUGUGCUUUCUUAUACGACAUCUUCUGGGUGUUUGUGUCUACGAUGUUCUUCCAGGAAAGUGUAAUGAUUGUGGUUGCUCGUGGUGACAGAAGUGGUGAGGAUGGUAUUCCAAUGUUACUGAAGAUCCCACGCAUGUUUGAUCCCUGGGGUGGUUACAGCAUUAUUGGAUUUGGUGACAUCCUUAUACCAGGGUUGCUAAUUGCUUUUUCAUUGAGGUAUGAUUGGCUGGCUAAGAAGAGCCUUCGAGCUGGAUACUUUCUGUGGUCUAUGGUCGCAUAUGGUUUAGCUCAUAAAAUGACACUUCAAAAUGCAUGGGAUUCACAGGUCUCCUCGUUACUUAUGUGGCCUUGAAUUUGAUGGAUGGACAUGGCCAGCCAGCUCUUCUUUACAUUGUUCCUUUCAUGCUUGGCACCUUUUUAACCUUGGGGAAGAAGAGAGGUGACCUCAAGAUUCUAUGGACAAGAGGGGAACCUGAGAGGCCUUGCCGGCAUGUUCGGCUGGAAAAAUGUAGUGAGUAGCAAAUUUCUUUGUAUGAUAGAAGAGUGGAUGCACUAACAGCUGAACAAAGUGUAACGAAUUGCAAUGUAGAGAUAGGAUAGGGAAAGUUGUAAGUGUAUGUAGAAAUAGAAUUACACCGACUCUGGAGGAUGUAUUAAUAUCAUUGAACAAGUCUGAAACUUCAACUAGGAUACCAGCCUUUUGAGAGUUUUACUA